rnacentral:rRNA from 13 species
GUAACUAGGGUGAAGUCGUAACAAGGUAGCCGUACUGGAAGGUGCGGCUGGAUCACCUCCUU